AUUGAACGCUGGCGGCAGGCCUAACACAUGCAAGUCGAGCGGAGCGGCGGACGGGGGAGUAAUGCCUGGGAAUCUGCCUGGUAGUGGGGGAUAACGUCCGGAAACGGGCGCUAAUACCGCAUACUAUCAGAUGAGUCGAGGUCGGAGGGGCUAGUUGGUGGGGUAAAGGCCUACCAAGGCGACGAUCCGUAACUGGUCUGAGAAGAUGCUCAGUCACUGGUGAACUGAGACACAGUCCGGACUCCUACGGGAGGCAGCAGUGGGGAAUAUUGGACAGUCCGCACAAACCUGAUCCCGCCGUGCCGCGUGUGUGAAUAAAGUAUUCGAAUUGUAAAGCACUUUAAGUUGGGAGGCGUUACCUACAGAAUGGACACCGGCUAACUUGGUGCCAGCAGCCGCGGUAAUAC
rnacentral:rRNA from 1 species